UUCAUCAUCAUCACCCAUUCUUCUUCUUCCCUCUCUAUUCAAUUUUAAGACAUGGAGAAAAACUUGGGUUCUUGUAGUUUAAGCUCAAAUUAGCCAUCCUCUACCUAUUGGAGCUUUAAUCAAAGAUUCUACGCUUUAUCGGAUUGGAGAAUUAGAGGAAUUGGAGUUAAGCAACGGGCUAUAUUAUAUUUUGCAUUUGGAAAAUUUGGAUUAAGCGAUCGAGGCGUUCAGUAGAUAGCGAUCAGGUCGAGCCUCCACUCCUUGUUUCGGAAGGCUCCUUACUUUUUGCUUGUACAGCUUCUGACUCUCUAGCGCUGCAGUAGUUCAGGCGUAUACUUUUGUCGAGGUCCUAUUAGCGGUUUAUUGUAUUUUGGUUUAGUAACCGCUCAUGUCUAUAUCUUUUUGUUAGGCCUCGUUUUCUGAUUAACAAACAAACAUCAGAGGUAGCUUUAGUUUAAACGCUUAAUAUGUGUAUUUUGUAAAUGCUUAGAAU